GGGAGCCACCGCCGCCAAGGGCCCCCCGGGGGAGCUCCCCCCCGAGCGGGGCCGGAGCGGGGCCGGCCGGGGGGCACAGGGGAGCCGGGAGCCGCCUCCUCCUCAGGCGGCUGCUGGGAAGGAGCCUGCGCUGGCAGGAGCGAAGGGGCUCGGGCUGAGGCCGGGCAGGGCCAGGGCAGGGAUCGGAAGAGUUGUUUGCACCCACAGGGCGCUCGGGCGCUGCAAGAGCUCGCCCAGGUGGAGUCGCCGUCCCUGGAGGUGUUUCAGCGGCGUCUGGAGCUGGCCAUGAGUGACGCGGUUCAGUGGUUUGGGGGUUCCUGGGGCGGUGCUGGGUGGGCAGUUGGACCUCAUGGAAUCGUGGGAUGUGCUGAGCUGGGAGGGACCCCUCAGAACCUUCGAGUCCAGCUGCUGAUUUCUUAAAACUAAUGGAAUGGGGAUCAAACUAUCGGGCUCCAAAAGGUCUUUCAUCCCUACUCUACAAUAUACAGGCCUGUGUUCCCCACGAAGGGCAGGCUGGCAGUUAUCAAUGGGGACAAUAAAGAAAAGCUCAGAGCAGAUGUUCAUGGUCACCACAGUUGUGUGACACAUCAAACCAGCCCUCUGUUCAUGGCUGUGUAGAACUGUCAUCAAGUCAGAACUUCCUGGUGUAAAUAUCAGUAUAUUUGGGUGCAAUAUUUGCAUGCUGUGCUUCUGUGGCACCAAGUGGAUUUAAAAGGUUGUAACACUUUAUGAGAUCAUCUUUAUGCUUGUGGGUUAUAUUUAAAAAAAAAUAAAAAGUGAAAAGCCAUAUAUUACAGAAGACAACAAUGAAAGAACUCCUAUUUAACAAAAUAUAAAUUAGGACAUCAAUCAGGGCAAAUGUAAAAUUGUAAAUAAAAAUCACUACAACUCAUUCAAGUGUUUGCACACUCAAAGGAUAUGUUUGAAAAUUCUGCCUCAGAAAUAAAUAAAAUAAAAUUUCAGAGGCAGUUUGUUACAACCGUUUCAAAGUUUCCAAUAAAAUUCACCACUCUUGAAAUGCAAAGUCUGAAAAAUGAAACAAGAGUGCCAUUGGAAUUCUGGCUGCCAGCUCUGAUCUCUACAGGAGUUAUUCCAGAGUGUAACAAAAGCAGCAACAGAAAUAACCUUUGGCAUUAGAGCACCAUCCUGCAUUAAUUGGUCCUGGCAACAGAGCUUUGCUUUUGAACCCCUCUGAUAAUGAAACCUUGCCAGAACUGUGGGAUUAUAAUGUUGAUUUUCUUAAGAAGUUGUGAGUCCUUAACCCAGCAUCUCCAGGUGAGCCCCUGCAAUAGGAGAGUCCUGUUCCUGCCGUCAGUGGAGAGGAGGGAUCAGCCUCACCAGCCAAUUGCAACUCGCCCAGGGAAGUUCAGAAGUGGAACCAUCCAUGAAAUGCCCCCUUCUGUCCCAGAGAUCCCCCAGAGAUUCAGCUCCAGUGCCAAACCCCAGGGAGUGUCAGCUGCCACAAAACUGAUGUUUGAGUUAGAGAUAUAGAAUGGGAAAACACAGCCAAAGCUUCUGGUAAUUCCUUGGAGCAGCAGCAAAGUACUGGUUGGAUUGGGUUGGAUUAUUGCAGGAAGAAAAGUGACAGAUGCCCACCUGAACAGGGCACAAGAGGCUGAGCAAGUUCCAGGUUGCCCCAGAUCUCCCAAAGGAAAAAAUCCAUGCCAGGUAUGAACCAUUGUGGAUUGUCAGUGUUCCAUGGCUGGGUGGCAAUUGGACAGACAGAGUUGCUUCUGUUCAGCACAGCCCUGCUCUUCUCAGGAGCCCACGAGACACGAGCAUGGCCCGUGUUGGUGCCCAAUCCACAACUCCCAGGAUGCUUCCACGUGGGAAAACCCUCCAGAUGGUGCUGGACAAGAUGCUGCAGUGGCAAAGAGAAGUGUUCCCAUCUCCAGGCUCUCUCCUGAUCCAGCUGUUGAGGAGAAGGAUAAGGAAUAUCUCCACACCUCCAUUACUCCUGGCAAGAGCCUCCAUCCUUCCCAGAGCCUCCAUGGAUAAGAGUCCCUGCUCCCGUGGAGCAGUGGGUAUCUGCAGACCCCGCUAAUCCAGUCCCAGUGGGAGCCCAGCCCAUUCCAUUCCUGGAUUCCCAGGGGCAGGUGGCACAGCAGCAAAUGUCCCAGAGCCACCAGUGCCAAAUCCACAGCUCCCAGGAUGCUUCCAUAUGGGAAAACCCUCCAGACGUUGCUGGACAAGAUCCUCCAGUGGCAAAGGCAGGUGUUCCCAACUUCACGGCACUCUCUUGAUCCGGCUGUGGAGGAGCAGGAUAAGGAAACCUCAGGAACUCAGUUACUUCUGGCAAGAGCCUCCAGGCCUCCCAGGGUCUCCGUAAGAAUCUGCAGAAUCCACAUGGCAGAGCCCCCAUGGACAGGUCCCCCAGGUCCCUUGGAGCCGAGGGGAUCAGCAGACCCUGCCAAUCCCUGAGGAUGCCGAGGGCUGGGAAAAGCCUGGAAGGAACAAGCCCGUUCCAGUAAAGUGUUCCCAGGAGCAAGUGGCACAGAACUAAGUGUUGGUACCCAAUCCAUGGCUCCCAGGAUGCUUCCAUGUGGGAAAACCCUCCAGACAUUGCUGGACAAGAUCCUCCAGUGUCCAAGGUGGCUUUUCCCAUUUCCAGCUGUGGAAGGAGCGGGAUAAGGAAAAUCUCUGCACCUCUGUUAGUUCAGGCAGGAGCCUCCAUCCCUCCCAGAGCCUCCCUGAGCCCUGCCAGGCUUCAGAUGGAUCAGCCCCCAUGGAUGGCACUCCCUGCUCCCCUGGAGCCGCGGGAAUCAGCAGAGCCCGUUCAUCCCUGAGGGUGCCCAUGGCCAGGAACAGCCUGGGGGUAAGGAGCCCAUUCCAGGCUCCCAGCUGAGGCAUUCCCAGGAGCAAGUGGCACAGCAGAAAACUUCCUGGGGGUGCCAGUGCCCAGUCCACGGCUCCCAGGAUGCUGCCAUGUGGGAAGACCCUACAAACAGUGGUGGACAAGAUCCCCAAGCAACCAAGGCAGCUGUUCCCAUCCCCAAGGUGCUGUCUCGACCCAGGUGUGGAGGAGCAGGAUGAGGAAUAUCUCCACCCCUCAGUUACUUCUGGGAAGAGCUUCCAUCCCUCCCAGAGCCUCCUGAGACCUGCUGGACUCCAGAUGGAUGAGCCCCCCUGGACUUUUUGGUGGGAGAAAUAGAACAUUGCUCACAACAUUCCACUCUGGCCAAAUAAGGAACAACAGAAUCUGGAAGAAAUCCUGGAGGAUUUAUUGGAUCAGGGAUGUACCUGAAGCAACCAGGAUGUCAGCUGAGCUCUGGGGACCCAGGGAAGAUCAAACCCAAACGUUCCAGCCUUUGUGGUGAAAAACACUGACACUGUGCCUGCUCAGAACUGAGGGCAACAAGGGGACACCUCAACUUUGGGGGGCACCAGACACAGAAAACCCCUCCAGAGACCCCCAAAGAAGACCCCAAAUGACCAAAUAGGUACUUGCAAUAGGGGUGUGAGUGUGUAAAGCAAAGUAAUGGGCAUGUGUUGAGUAAGGGGGAGUAUCCAGAUGUGUGGAUCUUCCAGUGCUUUGGGGGGGUUAUUUGGUGUUCCACAGUUUGGUCUCUGGCUUUGUUUUAUCCACUGAUCACUGGUUUGUGUUUGUCUUUGUUUCUGCACUGUAACAUCUGCACAAGUGGGUUCUGGGUCCAAAACUGACCCCAAUUGUACCAGCAGUGAGUCAGCAGUGUGGGGAGUGUGAGAGAAACAAUCCAAACCCUGCCAGUGGGGUGGGAAUAGGGGAUGGAAAGUGUGGAAAUGUUCCAGGUGAAUGUUGGCAGAUGGAUUGCACUGAACUGCCCAGAGAAGGGGGGUAUAAAUAUCUCCUGGUCUCGGGGGUACCUUCUCUGGGUGGCCAGAGGUUUUUCCUUGUGGCACCAACCGGGCUAGGGAAGGGAGUGGAAUCCUGUUGAAUCCAGGAAUCCCUGGAUUUGGGGUACCUUUGGGAAGGUCACCAGACAGAGGUUCCCACUGGAUUGCAGAAACAAAAUGCUUCAGUCUUGUUUUGCUCUUCUGAUGCAAGUUAAAACACUCUUGACAUGGGGGAAAAUUUCCAUCUCAUUUUAGUACCAAAUGUGACCCCAGAGUUGCCUACAAGUCCAUGGAUAAAGUGAGCAAGAAUAUCUGCCGAAUGUGUAAAUGUGUGUGUAAUCAAAAGCCCUGUCUGUCUGUCCCUGAAGUGGUGAGGCCUGAAUUACAGGCCCUGGGCCCAAAUUGACCUCUCCAUGACCCUUCCAAGCUGAUGUUCUGUUUAUCCAUGUACCACUCAUCAGCUAAAGCUGUGUCUGUCUGUGAGUAAAAGAUGGAGUGUGAUAAGGCUGCAGCUUAUCAACAAAAUGUGUUAAAAUCUGCUCAUCAACAAAAUGUGUUAAAAGCUUUUUAGUGAGCCAUGUUAGUAUCUGCUCAGUACUGAACACUCUUUGUACCUGUUCAUUGGUGAAAUCUGUGUGAUUGUCAGCAAGGUCUGAUCUUUGUGUGUGUAGAUCCUGGUCAAGGCCCUGGAAGUGAUACCUGGCCUUGUCUGGCAGCAGAUGGGGCAGGUUGUGACUCCCUUGGCUUGUGAGAAAUGGAACAUUGCUCACAGCCUUUCACAGGGGGCAAAUAAAGAACAAUAUUAUCUUGGAGAAGUCCUGGAGGAUUGGAUCAGGGAUGUACCUUGAAGCAACCAGGAUGUCAGCUGAGCUGUGGGGACCCAGAGAGGAUCAAACCCAAACGUUCCAGCCUUUGUGGUGAAAACCAGUGACACUGUGCCUGCUCAGAACUGAGGUCAACAAGGGGACACCUCAACUUUGGGGGGCACCAGACACAGAAAAACCCUCCAGAGACCCCUGAAGAGGACCCCAAAUGACCAAAUAAGGACUGGGGAUAGAGGGUGUGAGGGUGUAAAGCAAAGUACAGUAUUUGUGUGAAGGGAGAAUAUGUAAUGAGUGUGUAAAUUGUGUGUAAUAUAAAGCUCUGUCUGUCUGCCACUGAAGUGCUGAGGCUGAACAACAGGCCCUGAGCAAAGCUGGCCUCUAGAGCUCCAAUCUGAUGUUCUAUUUAUCCCUCAUCAGCUAAAACUAUGUGUGUUUGUGAGUAAAAGAUGUAGUGUGAGAAGACUACACUGUGUGUCUGCUCAUCAACAAAAUGUCAUUAGUAAGAUGUAUUAAUAUCUGCUCAUUAGUGGAUACUGUUUGUGUCUGUUCAUUAACAAAAUGUGUGUGAUUGUGAGCAAGGUGUGACCUUUAUCUCCCCGUGUUUGGGGGCUGGUGAAGGCCGUGGCUGUCGAUGUCUGGCCUUGCUUGGCAGCAGAUGGGACAGGUUGACUCCCUGGGUUUGCCCCUUCAGGCCUGGCCAGGCUUUGGGUGGGAUCCAGGAGGAGAAGGGAGUGUAAUAAGUAGUAGUAGUUAAAUUUACUCAUCAAAUUAGUAGUAGUAGUUUACUCAUUAAAUUAUAGUGCAUGUUAUAUUCUUAUAUAUAUGUUAUUAUAAUCAAUGUUCUGUUAAGAUUGGGAGACUGUAAAUUACCGAAUGGUUAAGCUAAUAGUCAUGCAGCUUGCAAUUCUUAAGCUGGAAAGACAAAUUAUUGUGUUUUACUGAAUAAGUAUUUUGUAUCUUACUUUUAUAAAAAGCUUAUUGUCUCACAACACGCAUAAAGUAAAGGAAAGAAGGACAAGGACCAAAGAGUCAGGAACUGAAACGAUCCAGAGUAUCCAAGAUGGACAUCUAGAGAUGCCAGCAGGUCUAAGGUCUAAGGACUGAUUGAAACUAUGGGCAGGAAAGCACCUGGCAACUAAAACAGACUUGCAAAGAAACCAACCAGAACCAGACCUGCAAACUCAGAUCCAACAGAAGGAGAACAAGUAACUAUGGGAGGGGAACUGAUAAGGGAAUAAAAGUUACUAUUUUUGUUCACUGCACUUGCGGGCUGUGAGUGGAGCAGGAGACUCCCCGGCCGCCCAGCAUGCUGUUUUGCUUAUUUGCAUUUUC